rnacentral:rRNA from 1 species
CACGUAGGGUGCGAGCGUUGUCCGGAAUUAUUGGGCGUAAAGAGCUCGUAGGCGGCUUGUCGCGUCAACUGUGAAAACCCGUGGCUCAACCAUGUGGUCUGCAGUCGAUACGGGCAGACUGGAGGUAUGCAGGGGAGAACGGAAUUCCUGGUGUAGCGGCGAAAUGCGCAGAUAUCAGGAGGAACACCGGUGGCGAAGGCGGUUCUCUGGGCAUGUCCUGACGCUGAGGAGCGAAAGUGUGGGGAGCGAACAGG